GGUGACCUCGGAUCAGGUAGAUGCCA
rnacentral:rRNA from 1 species